UAAAGCUAGGACUAGGAUUUGAAGGAUGUGUAGGCAACCCGGAUUGCCGGGGGAAGAAAAACGGAACUGGAUUCACUCUGGCUGGAGAAGAAGAGGAAGGCUGGAGCGCGGGGGCUGGCGGGGCUGGGGGGCGCGAGAGAGGAGCCUCCGAGCAUCCGCAAGUGCCGCCGUCCGGGGGAAAGUGCUCCAAGCCCCCGAGGAGGCCGAGCUGGGACGGAGGAGCCCCCGCGGACUUUGUCUUCCUUCUGCCAAUCAAACGCCCUCCGAGCCGAG